AUAGUAUGAGAAUUAGACAAAAAAUAUGUCAGUGUUUAUAAAAUUCCAUUACGUUGUUGUAUAAGUCUAACUUGUCGUACCGUCCUGAAGUUUUUAAGUACCGUCUAGUUUUUGCUCUAUGCGCCCAUAUGGGCAUAGUUAUAAUUUUUUCAGGAUUUAAAGAUAUGUCUAAUACAGUAACUGGCACAGUUAAGUGGUUCAACGAGUCUAAAGGUUUUGGUUUCAUUGCACAGGAAAAUGGCCCAGACGUUUUUGCUCAUUUCAGCGCUAUUCAAGGUGACGGAUUCCGUACUUUAGCUGAAGGCCAACGUGUUGAGUUCACUUUAGCAAACGGCCAGAAAGGCCCACAAGCAGAGAAUAUCACUUUGCUAUAAGCUGUAAAGCUUAGAUAAAAAAAGCAGGCCGAGGCUUGCUUUUUUUG
rnacentral:sRNA from 1 species